rnacentral:tRNA from 1 species
GGCCCCAUCGUCUAAUGGUUAGGACAGUAGGUUUUCAACCUACCGACAGGGGUUCGACUCCCCUUGGGGCCA